UACAGAGGGGGCAAGCGUUGUUCGGAAUUACUGGGCGUAAAGGGCGCGUAGGCGGCCGCCUAAGUCAGACGUGAAAUCCCUCGGCUCAACCGGGGAACUGCGUCUGAUACUGGAUGGCUUGAGUUCGGGAGAGGGAUGCGGAAUUCCAGGUGUAGCGGUGAAAUGCGUAGAUAUCUGGAGGAACACCGGUGGCGAAGGCGGCAUCCUGGACCGACACUGACGCUGAGGAGCGAAAGCCAGGGGAGCAAACGGG
rnacentral:rRNA from 1 species